GAACUCUAAGCAAUCAAACAAGACCUUGUGUUUCUUUUAUUUGCUACAUGGACUGUCCAUUUGGUCUGGUAUAAUAUUACACGCCCGAUCCUUUUCCUUCAUGAUGGCCUUUUCCUGUUCGCAUCGAGCCAUCCAUGGGAUUGUGUCCUGGGUCUUCCCUGCGUGGAGAGUGCUUUGAGUAGUUAGAAAAGUGCUACAUAAAUGUGCAGUUAUUUUUACCGCUUCCUCACGACACUGGUCAUUGAAUUGUUUUGCUUGAAAAUGCAGCGGUGGUUGCUACCACAUUGGGCCUGGUUAAGCGACUCUAGCCUAGUCAUUUUGGGGUUUUGGUUUCCCAAUAUGUACAUCAAUUAAUUGUUAUUUUCACUCAUCCACUACUCACCACGCAAAGCUAUCAGUCAUUAGCAUUAGUGUAAUAAACCUUUAUUCACAUGGCCCAAGUGGAUGCAAGAAAGUCGCUAUCAUGCUGGUCUUACUGGUGAUUAAUGUCCGACAACAGAAUAGACCAAUUUUCUUAUUCUUUUUUUGGUAUUUUUAUUAUCAUUUUGGAUUUUUUUGUCCCUUUUUCCACAUGUUUUGCCUAUUUUUUAAUUUUUCUUCCUAAAUCUAUUAACCAGACAGACACACAGAUACAGAGACACUUUGUGCUUUUAUUAUGGUGGAUUCAUUUGUGUUGUGAUGAUCUUCUAACUGAAGAUGCGCUUUUGUAUCAGACUGAACUGAAUUUAAUUACGUGACUUUGGUAAAAAAGAAAUGAAUGGAUAAACUGAAACCUUAAAUUCAGAUAAAGCAUUAGUGGAACCAGCAACCACUUCCCUGUAGGCCCACUUGGGCUGUUCUGUGGGCAGAGAGAGCUAGGACUGCCCCGCAAUCCCACACCAUGGCCAGAGGGAACCGUGAAGUUCAGCCUGUUCAGGUUUUAGGUGCCAUCAACAGAUCACCAACUUGAGUUGGUCCAAUAUUUCUAAUGUAUAUUUAUCUCACUAACCAACUGUACUACCCGUCUAAGAUGGGUUGAACUCUAAGUAAUCAACACAGACCUCCCCAUUAAUGUUUGCAGUGCAUCGUGCAAUGCAUAUGUCUCUGUUAUAUGCCAUUUGGUAUAAGAAUAGUAAAAGCAAUGUUAAUAUUUGUGAUGCGCCAUCGACAAGUGCAAUGCGUUUUAUUACUGAAAUGUCAGUGAGAUGCCAUCUUUUGAAAUAACAGAGACAUAGCAACCAGACGGACAAAUAGACAAGACACACAGACACUUCUCCUUUUAUCCGGGCAGAUGCUACUGAAAUUGUGAUAAACUAAACUAUCAAGGACAAUUUUAGAACACUUAGGCUGGUGGGGAAAUUACUAGCAUGUUGGGGCCCACUGGUGAUUCAAGCAGCACAAUCCCGAGUUUAACAAUGUGAUGCAGGCUGAUGGUGCAGUCAACCAUUGAAAGAGUGGGGAGGGGGAGUCCCCCUUGACAUAUUGAUCAGCACAAUUAAAGAAGUGUGACUGAAGAAGCACAAGGGGGUACCCCUUGGUGAUUUGAGUAGCAUGAUUGAUGAGCAAAGGGAUAUCCAUUGAUGUUGGCAUUUCCAGCAACACGAUUACAAAGUGGGAAUGGGUCCCCCAUUGUGUUUCAGGUGGGACAAUCACAGGUCUGCAAUGAGAUUGUGAGGCAAGGCCAAUUUGCCCCUCCAGCACACCCCCCUGAUCUGUCCUUGGUUGUGAUACUAUCCCCCCUAAAAACCCAGGGAGAAAAAAAAGGAACAUUUUGUUCAUAUUCUGAACCUCAACCAUGUCGACAGGCAUUGUACCCUCAUUUAUGAUUGGUCUCUGUAACACUCCACAUUCGUAUUGCAUCCCAAGAUUAUUUAUCAUCCAUCCAUCCAUUACACAACCCGCUAUACUACAGGGUCAUGGGGUCUGCUGGAGCCAAUCUCAGCUAACACAGGGCGCAAGGCAGGAAACAAACUCUGGGCAGGGCGCCAGCCCACCGCAGGAUUAUUUAUCAUUCAUUGGUAAAUUUGUAAAUAACUUUGUUAGUUGUGUCAAAUAUUAGAAUGAUUAUUUCUUUUUAUCUUUAAUGCCUCUCCCUUUUUUUAAGUUUUCUGUUGACAUUUAUCAUUGUCUUGGCCUAGGACAUUACACUUGAAUUAAAAAAAAGUAUUAAUUUGUUUCCAUUUCUGUAAGACAAAUAUUUCAGUAAGUAACCAAGAAAAUACUUUGAAAGAAAAUGCAUAACAGCCAUAAAAAUGAAAUUGGAAAAGAUCCAUCCAUCCAUCCAUUUUCCAACCCGCUGAAUCCAAACACAGGGUCACGGGGGUCUGCUGGAGCCAAUCCCAGCCAACACAGGGCACAAGGCAGGGAAUCAAUCCUGGGCAGGGUGCCAACCCACCGCAGGACACACAUAAACACACCCACACACCAAGCACACUAGUGAUGGGCGGAGUGAAGCCUCAUGAAGCAUCAACACGUUUGAAGCAAUUGUGUCGGAAAUCGUAUCGAAGCUUCGAAGCAUUUGACACUCACCUCUCUAGGGACACCUCUUGGCCAUUUGUAUUAACAGCACAUUUUAACAGUAAACUCUUAGAGCAUUGUGGACGAAUACCGAAUCUCUAUGAAGAUGUGAUAUACACCUUUGAAGUCAAAAAUUAUAAUUGGCAAUAAUGUCAAGCAUUGUAAAUCGACAUACGCUUAGCAAGUAAUUAUUCUGCAGUAAUCUGAUCAACGUUGACUAGAUACGUUAGGCGCCAGCACGGAUUACCGUUGUUUAGAAGUAAAUGUAUGCGUAACGGUGGCUUGAACAAUUACGCCAGUCGGACAGCGCCAGGUCUCGUGUUCAAUAACAAACCUGGUCAGCAUCUGUCUGGGGAUUACAGAUUUCCGUUGCCUGAUGCGUUUGAUAGUUCCGAUUAUGCGGCAAUGCUCCUUGAAAACCUGGUUGGUGUUAGACUUCCAAUCGGGAAUUUAAUCUGCAUAAUGUACAUUCAUAUUCUAAUUCCAAUGUAAAACCAGCAUAUAUCAGUAUUUGAAUUAAACUCUUCAACCAAACUAGACUACAUCUCGUGGAAAUGCGAUUGGUCCAUUACUAACUGUCACUAAAUUUUGCAAUAACUACACUGUAAAAAAAUUCUGUAAAUUUACAUUGAAAUUUAACAGCAAAAUGCUGUUUUCAUGAAAUAUCAGUAGGUUGCCGUUUUUUACAGUGCAUUGUGGGAAGACUUGUUCACUUCAGGUUAGUGUCACAGGUGUCUGGUCACACUUAUAGGUAAUCUAACUUAGACACCAUUAAAAUAUCCGACUACGCCACCCAGUUUUAUUAAGAGACUGGGAACUCCUCAAAUUUACCAAUAAUAGCACACAGGUUUCUUUAAAUUGGGCGGUGAGUAAACACACAAUGAAAUACACAGCAGUAAUUUAGAAAAAAGCAACAGUAAGUUCUAUUGUACAAGACAAUAUAAGGUACAUUAAAAAGAUAAACGAACAUAACAGAACCUAAACGUAUCAGGAAUUAAUGACAUUUUUUUAAAAGGAAAAUACACAGUCCACACUCUAAAAGUCCGUAAAAACAAGAAUUGUAGGAUACAACCUUUAGUGGUGCAGAGUCCAGUUUGGGCACUGUGUUACCCCAACACUUAAUUGUUCAUGGAUGCACUCUGUUACCCGGCAGAAGGUGUGUCAAAUUGUUGACUCCUUGUCAGCGUCUCUUUGUUGUCCCUUUUUCUUCCACUCUGGGCUCCUUGUGUUGCUGGGACCUAGGCACGCCUCAUUUCUCGUCUGUCAGCUUCGCUUGGUCCUCUCAUGCGGCUUCCCUCUUUCGCUGGACCCACAACUGGCGUCUCCUUGUGGAGCUGUCUCUUCCUCCCUGGAAGUAUAUGUUGCCGUCCUUGUGCCUCACGUCGUGCCAGCCAGGUACCCUUGUCUGUCUGCGAGCCCCUGUGCCCUGUCCGAGUGUCUUGGCAGCGUUUCCUGUGGACUCUCCCUUCUGCCUUCUGCUGGCCAGCAGUUUAUAUUUACUUCACCCCUCUGUUGUCAGUCCUGGACAAACAGUUUAAUCCAUGGCACAUCUAAAUUGCCUGGGUUUAACAAUUAAUAAAAACACAAACAAAAUGUAUGGUUACCAAACAUUAAUAAGUACAGAUAUGCUGAUUAGGAACCAAUAUUUCCAAGCCAGGUAAAUACAGACAUUCUACCAAGGCCAGACUUCAAAGCAGUGAUUCUCUUGCAGGACAGCAAAUACCAUUAAUAAAUACAGAUAGCCUUUUAACUUCUCACCCCCCCUAGUCCCAACAGUGGGUGCCUAAUGGAACCACCCAGUGCACAAAAAAAAAUGUAAAAGUGUCCCCCUCUGACAUCCCCCCAGACUUAACCAUUGUCAGUCCCGGACAAUCAGUUUAAUCUUCUUAUUCUCUAUAACGGGCUGGGGGUCUCCCCAAAUUUUCCCUCCUCGAUCGGCGCAACUCCACAGCUCCCCCCUCUGGGACAUCACUAUUUUCUGUAGAGGCUGGGUUUCCCAUUGUCCAAAACCCAUAUAUGGUAAGUCCAGGUGGAGAUGGUUCGGCCGUUGGGGUAGCUGAAGUACUUAGUGGAGACAAACAAUAAGGCUUUAAAGCAUUACGGUGCACAUUUUUCUCUCUACCUCCCCCUUCUGGUCUCACUUUAUACACCACCCCAGAAUCCCCUACCUGGCCAAGCACCACAUAGGGUUCUUGGUUCCCCCAACCUGUCAGCUUCCCUUCUCCUUGUCUACCUCUAUUCCUCAGCCAUACUCUUUCUCCAGGAAGCAAUGUAAUAGCCUGAGCUUUCUUAUGCCAAGCUGUAUUAUGUUGUACUGCCUUAUCCAUCCUCCCCUUAGCAGUUUGACUUGUAUUGGGUAGAUUCUGCAGACGUCCCUUCACCCAUUCUUCCCUCGUGCCCCCUCUGGCAGGGACCCUCACACUAUGGCAGAAGGCUGGUUGUUUGUAUCUGCUGAAUCCAUUUUCCCGGUGUGCCAUGGCAUGUCGACACACAGCAGAGCUGUUAGACCCUGCUUCCUGCGUACUGGGGGCUGCUUGAGAUAGUACCACUGGUGACUCUGGAGCCUGAAAAACAGCUUGCCAACAAGCAGAGAUUACAUUCAUUCCAAUCAGCAAUGGGCUUGUCUGGACCUCAUCUCGCACAAUCACAACCCCUCUUGCAGGUAACUUUACUGUAGCCACCUCAAAAUCCAUUGUGGCGUACCCUGUAUAGGGGAUAUCCAACCCAUUGGCAGCUUUCAGGGUUAGAAGAAACGGGGCCUGCCCAACUUCUAUGUUAUCUGCAAAAUGCUGCUUGAAAAAGCUCUCUUGCAUCAGGGUAACCUGGGAUCCAGUGUCUAACAGUCCAUUUAAGGUUUUCCCUUCAAUGGUGACCUGUACCACGGGACAUUCAACAAUAAGAGGGGAUAUUGCCUUUCGGGUUUCACUGCCCAACCCUGCUAUCUGGCCCACAGCUGCAGGGUUCACAAGUUCAAAAGUAGGGCGCCCACUAGAGGAUGGACAGUUCCGUGCCAAAUGACCUGCUUGUCUGCACUGAUUACAAAUGGGCCUACCUUGUGAAUCCCAGGCAUAACGGCUGUUAGUGUGAGGCCUCCUAUCUGGCUGAGAGUGUGCGAAUGGCUGGGCAGCAUCAACCUGUGGAACUGCUGGCCUCAGUUCCUUCAGCAGCUCCUGAGUCCAUUCCUUCAUCUGUGUUUUCAGGUCACCCAGAAUCUCGGCCUUGAAUGCUAGUCUCCAGUCUGCCUGUGAAUGAGAAUUAGUUGCGGAGAGCUCACCAAUAGCUCCGCAAGUUGCUUCCCUGUGUCCCGUAUAAUUACAUUCCCCUUCCAGCAGCAGAGCCUCUUGAUGCACUUCCCCAUAAGUUUUAUCUGGAUUGUGGCGCACAAAUGUCCGUAGUGCUUGUCGCAUCCACUGUCAUGGAGGCCCAACAAGAGCUGAUCUCGCAGCUGUAUAUCAGAGGGGGCUUGGGCUGGGCUACGCUGUUGUAACCUGCAAUGAAGUUCUCUCAAUUUAAGGACAAAAGCUCUGAAAGGUUCGUUAGUCCUUUGUGCACAACAGUAAAAUUGGGACAUCAGAGUAGCUAAUGGGACUUGGUCACCGUAUAAUCUAUCUAGAACAAGAAAAAUCUUUGUAACCCUAUCUCUUUCUUCCACACUCAACACACUGACUUCCCGUUUAGCAUCCCCAGUCAAUGCUCCCAUCACAAUACUGACCUUUUGAGACUCCCCAUAUUCAGCAGCUUCUAAUAACCCCUGCAUCUGUUCUUUCCACUCAGCAUAUUUCAAAUCACCUUUUUCCCCACUAAACUUGGCAAUCCAAGGUGCACCGGCAAAAAUAGGCAUCAUCAUGAUGAAAAAUAGAAAAAACACAAUAAAACUACCCCACAAAAUCAAUAACUAAAUAAAAAUGGAUUUAAAAAAAAUGCCUAGUACUUCCAAGUGUGUUACUCACAAGCCCAAUCCUGCCGACUACUGCCAAAAUUAUGUCACAGAGGUCUGGUCACACUUAUAGGUAAUCUAACUUAGACACCAUUAAAAUAUCCGACUACGCCACCCAGUUUUAUUAAGAGACUGGGAACUCCUCAAAUUUACCAAUAAUAGCACACAGGUUUCUUUAAAUUGGGCGGUGAGUAAACACACAAUGAAAUACACAACAGUAAUUUAGAAAAAAGCAACAGUAAGUUCUAUUGUACAAGACAAUAUAAGGUACAUUAAAAAGAUAAACGAACAUAACAGAACCUAAACGUAUCAGGAAUUAAUGACCUUUUUUUAAAAGGAAAAUACACAGUCCACACUCUAAAAGUCCGUAAAAACAAGAAUUGUAGGAUACAACCUUUAGUGGUGCAGAGUCCAGUUUGGGCACUGUGUUACCCCAACACUUAAUUGUUCAUGGAUGCACUCUGUUACCUGGCAGAAGGUGUGUCAAAUUGUUGACUCCUUGUCAGCGUCUCUUUGUUGUCCCUUUUUCUUCCACUCUGGGCUCCUUGUGUUGCUGGGACCUAGGCACGCCUCAUUUCUCGUCUGUCAGCUUCGCUUGGUCCUCUCAUGCGGCUUCCCUCUUUCGCUGGACCUACAACUGGCGUCUCCUUGUGGAGCUGUCUCUUCCUCCCUGGAAGUAUAUGUUGCCGUCCUUGUGCCUCACGUCGUGCCAGCCAGGUACCCUUGUCUGUCUGCGAGCCCCUGUACCCUGUCCGAGUGUCUUGGCAGCGUUUCAUGUGGACUCUCCCUUCUGCCUUCUGCUGGCCAGCAGUUUAUAUUUACUUCACCCCUCUGUUGUCAGUCCUGGACAAACAGUUUAAUCUAUGGCACAUCUAAAUUGCCUGGGUUUAACAAUUAAUAAAAACACAAGUUAACAAAAUGUAUGGUUACCAAACAUUAAUAAGUACAGAUAUGCUGAUUAGGAACCAAUAUUUCCAAGCCAGGUAAAUACAGACAUUCUACCAAGGCCAGACUUCAAAGCAGUGAUUCUCUUGCAGGACAGCAAAUACCAUUAAUAAAUACAGAUAGCCUUUUAACUUCUCACCCCCCCUAGUCCCAACAGUGGGUGCCUAAUGGAACCACCCAGUGCACAAAAAAAAAUGUAAAAGUGUCCCCCUCUGACAUCAGUGGUCGAACAACAACAGUAUGUCACUGUUAUUUAACGGUAUUAUAUCAUAUUUUUCGAUUUGUGCGACGUGUAUUAUCACCACGAGGUAGUUUGCACCUUUAUCUAUGUUUGUCAUAUCUUUAAAAAUAUUACAUUGGAGUUUUUAUAAUGUUUUAAUCAGACAAAGCAAUAAUUAGUAAAAGUCAUGCAAAGUAUUUCUAAAAAUAACGUUAUAAAAACAUGUGGGUAACGGAUCAAUUAAAACAGAGACCAUCGUCGUAGCUGGGUGGCUACACACAGAAAGCAAAGUGUUUGAAAUUCAAAAAUCUGCGCAACUGCCAUACUACAUUAAAAUUGCCAUCGUGUUGCUAACAGGUAAGAGUUCGCUUUUAUUCAAACUGUUCAUUUGACUAAAAAUCUGCAACUUUCUGUCGAAGAGUGUGGGAGGAGCAUUGUGGAGUUUUUUAAAACCAGGCCAACUAAUUCAGAAGUUAAGGCAGUUCUUUCCAAGGAGGAAGCCAUUGAUUCAGCCCAUCUCAUUGUUCAACUCCUAAUGGCUCACUUUGCAGAGAAUCAAGAUGGGCUUAUUCUUCCAGAAAAUGUAAGUUAUUCUUUAUAUACAUUGUUAUUAGUUCUUACCAUACAUUAUUAUUAGUUCUUACUAUGAACAAAUGUGUAGGAAUGGUUCAAUCAAAUACUUAUAGGACUCAUUUGACUACAAAUUUUAAUAUUUGAUAUUUUAAUAAAGAAAUUGUCUGUUUGUCUACACUGUGCAAGAAAAUGGUUACAUUGAAACUACAAAGGCACCAUUAAGUUAAUAUAUAGGGCUUUGAUAAUUUAUUGUCUUAAAGCAAUCUAAUUCCAUAUAACUGAGUGAACAACCAAAAGAAUUUUUUUUUUUUUUUUUUUUUUUGCUGUGCAUCUAGAAGUCUUCCAUUUUGACUCUUAUUCUGUGCACUGUAUAGACAAACAGAUAUUAAAUGUUGAAAAUAUGUAUUUUGUGUCAGUAUUAACAAAAAGGUAAAUAAGUUAAGAAGUAUAUAUUUGGAUAAGCUAUUCUUGUUUUAAUAGGUACAUUGUCAAAUAUUAUUAGCACAUAUGUUUUUUGGAGAUGUUAAUUUCUAAUUCUUAUCUUUAACAAUAGAUGUCUGCCACCUUGAGAAGACUGGUAACCUACCUGUGACUCCUCGAUUGAUCCUGCUUGGUCCAAGUGAUACUCAAGGGCAGUGGAUGAAACAAUGGAUGAUCAUUGCUUGGAGGGCAGAAUAAUCUGCGAGGGUGUGCAACCAACCUUUCUCACUGGACUUGCUGCUUUGUUUUCACUGUAUUACAUCUUCAACCUGCAAUAUCAAGAGGAAGCAGCAUCCACACUGGAAUUCCUUCAAAGACAAUUUGUUGGAAUAAAUCCAGAAAAAGGGACCAAGGCUGCAAAAGGAAAAGUGACAUCUAAAAAGAUUGGGAAAACUGUUCAAAAGAAGACCAUGACAGUCAAUCUGAAAGUGUCAAAUCUUUUAAAAACAUUGAUGGACUUUGAGUGGCACUUUAUUUAAAAUUUUUUUUUUACAGUGGUUUGUAUAUACUGUUAUAUAUUUUUUAGUAUUCUACUUUUUAUAUCCAGAAAGGACUGGUGUUUGAUAAAGCCUUUUGUUGAUUUAUUUUAUAUAUAUUUGUCCCUGAAGCUUGAUUUGAAGCUUGUUUAUUAUUUAAUGUCAAGUUGAGGCAUUUCGAAAUUGUUUUUGUUUUCUUAAGCCAUCUUUGUAUUUCUCCAUGUUAUGGCUGCUUAUUUGUUGCACCAUAGUUUAUGCACUCCAAAAUAUGAUGGCUUGCAUUUUUCACAUUUUUUGGCAAAAAAAAAAAACAGCUUAACAAUUAAUAUAAUGUUAAAUGGAAAUAAAGAAGGACUAAAACAAUAAGUUGGCCUUAUUUAUUUUGUUUUACACAAAUAUAAAAUGC